UGCGGGGUGGAGCAGUCUGGUAGCUCGUCGGGCUCAUAACCCGAAGGUCGUUGGUUCAAAUCCAGCCCCCGCUACCCA
rnacentral:tRNA from 1 species